AUGCAGUUACUCUGUCAUUUGCUUUUAAGGAGAUGCCUGCAUAGAAGAGUGACAGCAGCCGACUAUAUGUCUCAGUGCUGAACUAGUUCCUCAGGAACCCUGGCUCUGGAAAUUGCUAUGGGAGAUUGGAUGACUAUUACAGAUCCAGCUCUGUGUGCAGAAAGCAAAAACAUCUCUCAAUAUACCUCAGAAACAAAGAUGUCUCCAUCAAGUUUAUACUUACAGCAAGUGCUAUGUUCUUCAAUACCUUUAUCAAAAAAUGUACACAGUUUUUUUAGUGCCUUUUGCACGGAAGAGAAUAUUGAACAAAGUAUUUCAUAUCUUGAUCAGGAAUUGACUACUUUCGGGUUUCCUUCAUUGUACGAAGAACCCAAAAGCAAAGAAGCAAAGAGAGAAUUAAAUAUAGUUGCUGUUUUAAAUUGUAUGAAUGAGCUACUUGUACUUCAGCGGAAGAACCUUCUCGCUCAGGAAAAUGUGGAAACACAGAAUCUGAAACUCGGAAGUGAUAUGGACCAUCUUCAGAGCUGCUAUGCAAAACUUAAGGAACAACUGGAAAAUUCCAGGAGGGAGAUUAUUGGGCUUCAGGAGAGAGACAGACAGUUACAGUGCAAGAACAGGAAUUUGCAUCAGCUACUGAAAAAUGAAAAGGAUGAGGUACAAAAAUUACAAAAUAUCAUUGCAAGUCGAGCUACUCAGUACAAUCAUGAUAUGAAAAGAAAAGAGCGUGAAUAUAAUAAAUUAAAAGAACGUCUACAUCAACUUGUUAUGAACAAAAAAGAUAAAAAAAUAGCCAUGGACAUUUUAAACUACGUGGGCAGAGUGGAUGGAAAACGGGGCUCCUGGAGGACUGGUAAAACAGAAGCCAGGAACGAAGAUGAAAUGUAUAAAAUUCUCUUAAAUGAUUAUGAAUACCGUCAGAAACAAAUCCUAAUGGAAAACGCUGAACUUAAGAAGGUUCUUCAGCAAAUGAAAAAGGAAAUGAUUUCUCUUCUUUCUCCCCAAAAGAAGAAACCUAGAGAAAGAGCAGAUGACAGUACAGGAGCUGUUAUCUCUGAUGUUGAAGAAGAUGCCGGGGAACUGAGUAGAGAAAGCAUGUGGGACCUUUCUUGUGAAACUGUAAGAGAGCAACUUACUAACAGCAUCAGAAAACAGUGGAGAAUUUUGAAAAGUCACGUAGAAAAACUUGACAACCAAGUUUCAAAGGUACACUUAGAAGGUUUUAACGAUGAAGAUGUCAUAUCACGACAAGACCAUGAACAAGAAACUGAGAAACUGGAGUUAGAAAUUCAACAGUGUAAAGAAAUGAUUAAAACACAGCAGCAACUUUUACAGCAGCAGCUUGCUACUGCAUGUGAUGACGAUACCACUUCUCUAUUACGGGACUGUUAUUUGUUGGAAGAAAAAGAACGCCUUAAAGAAGAAUGGUCCCUUUUUAAAGAGCAAAAAAAGAAUUUUGAACGAGAAAGACGAAGCUUUACAGAAGCAGCUAUUCGCCUAGGAUUGGAGAGAAAGGCAUUUGAAGAAGAGCGAGCCAGUUGGUUAAAGCAACAGUUUUUAAAUAUGACUACCUUUGACCACCAGAACUCAGAAAAUGGGAGACUUUUCAGUGCCUUCCCAGGAAGUUCUGAUCAAGACAAUCUUAUAGUGCACUCAGGGCCACUGCAAAAGAAGCCUCACAGUGUGCCUCAUGGGUCUCCAAUUUGCACAUCUAAAAUGACCAAGUCUCUGCCUGCUUCUCCCACUUCAGACUUUUGCCAGACACGUUCCUGUGUCUCUGAACAUAGUUCAGUCAGUGUGCUGAAUAUAACUCCUGAAGAAAUGAAACCAAAUCAGGUCGGAAGAGAAUGCAGCAGUCAGACAUGGAGUGUGGCAUCCAGGCCUAGAUCACAGCAAGGUUGCUACAGUGGCUGCUCUUUGACUUAUACAAAUUCUCAUGUAGAAAAAGAUGACUUACCUUAGAUGUGUGGAUGGGAACUUUUUUUCACUAACAUUCAUCCAGUUUGCUUCAUCUAAGUUGAAACAGGGUGUGUCAUAAAUGAUGGGAACUUAAUAGGAAUUGAUGGCACCAGAAAAAUCAUGACUAAAAUUCCCUCCUCCCAAAUGUCAAGAGUAUAUAGCUUUGUGAUCCCUGGGAAUAAGAAGACAAGCACACUGCCUGCUGUUGAAAACUGCUGAGUGGAGUGAAAGACCAGCCUGGAAACCCAAAUUGAAAUAAACAAUAGUAGCUGCUAUCCACAAGUGCGAAGAGGUCAUGCUACAAGAACCAAACUUUAAAGUGAUGUGACUUACUAUCAGAGUUCAAAUCUUGCUGGGCACAGUGACACCUGUAAUCCCAGCACUCUAGGAGGCUGAGGCGGGAAGAUCAAUUUCAAGCUCAGCUUUGGCAACUUAGUGACUGUACAGAGACCCUGCGUCAAAAAGUAGGAGAUGCUUGCUUCGGCAGCACAUAUACUAAAAUUGGAAUGAUACAGAGAAGAUUAGCAAGGCCCCUGCACAAGGGUGACACGCAAAUUCGUGAAGCGUUACAUAUUUUUUAAAAAAUAGACUAGAGGUUUAGCAGAGUGCUCCCUGGGUUCCAUCCCAAGCAGCACUACCGAAAAAACCCAUUUUCACCUAAGCCAUGUGGAACACGUCCCCUGAGUUCCACACCAGAGAAAGCAGACUGGUGGGUAGUGUGCACACCUGAGAGGGAAGCUGUAGCCUUGUCACAAGGUGGGAGGGGACAAUGUGCAGCUCUUCAGUGAGCACUGGCGGUGUGGAUGAUGUAGAUAUUUCAUCCAUUUAUUAUGAAAAUGAUAAAACAGCAAAAGGGUUAU